rnacentral:rRNA from 1 species
UAGGGAAUAUUGGACAAUGGGGGCAACCCUGAUCCAGCCAUGCCGCGUGAGUGAAGAAGGCCCUCGGGUUGUAAAGCUCUUUUGUCCGGAAAGAAAAGCAUUCGGUGAAUACCCGGAUGUUCUGACGGUACCGGAAGAAUAAGCACCGGCUAACUUCGUGCCAGCAGCCGCGGUAAUACGAAGGGUGCAAGCGUUACUCGGAAUUAUUGGGCGUAAAGCGUGCGUAGGUGGUUGUUUAAGUCUGAUGUGAAAGCCCUGGGCUCAACCUGGGAAUGGCAUUGGAAACUGGGCAGCUAGAGUGCGGUAGAGGGUAGUGGAAUUCCCGGUGUAGCAGUGAAAUGCGUAGAGAUCGGGAGGAACAUCUGUGGCGAAGGCGACUGCCUGGACCAGCACUGACACUGAGGCACGAAAGCGUGGGGAGCAAACA